AGCGAACCGGGAAGAGCUCAAAUUUGAAAUCUGGCGUCCCUCGGGCGUCCGAGUUGUAAUCUACAGAGGCGCUUUCCGCGCCGGUCCGCGUCCAAGUCCCUUGGAACAGGGUAUCAAAGAGGGUGACAAUCCCGUGCUUGAUGCGACCGCCGGUGCUAUGUGAUGCGUCUUCUAAGAGUCGAGUUGUUUGGGAAUGCAGCUCAAAACGGGUGGUAAAUUCCAUCUAAGGCUAAAUAUUGGCGAGAGACCGAUAGCGAACAAGUACCGUGAGGGAAAGAUGAAAAGCACUUUGGAAAGAGAGUUAAACAGUACGUGAAAUUGUUGAAAGGGAAACGAUUGAAGUCAGUCGUGUCCGAGAGGCUCAACCGGUCCUGCCGGCUCACUCCCCUCGGACGGGUCAACAUCGGUUUUGGCCGGCGGAAAAGGGAACGGGGAAAGUGGCACCUCCUGGUGUGUUAUAGCCCCGCGUCGCAUACGUCGGCCGAGACCGAGGAACGCAGCUCGCCCCUCGCGGGGCCGGGGUUCGCCCACGUACGAGCUAGG
rnacentral:rRNA from 2 species